CACGUAGGGCGCGAGCGUUGUCCGGAAUUAUUGGGCGUAAAGAGCUCGUAGGCGGCCUGUUGCGUCCGCUGUGAAAGCCCGGGGCUUAACCCCGGGUCGGCAGUGGAUACGGGCAGGCUAGAGGUAGGUAGGGGAGACUGGAAUUCCUGGUGUAGCGGUGAAAUGCGCAGAUAUCAGGAGGAACACCGAUGGCGAAGGCAGGUCUCUGGGCCACUACUGACGCUGAGAAGCGAAAGCGUGGGGAGCGAACAGG
rnacentral:rRNA from 1 species